rnacentral:lncRNA from 1 species
GAUACUAUACUUACAUUAUUGGCUCCACUACUUAACCAUGCUUCUUUUAUUCUCUCUUUUUCUCCUUUAUUACUUAUUCAGAUUGGGUGUGGUUUCCUUUAUUCUUUGAAUUUAUUCACCUUUUUUUUAUCAUUAUCUUAUUUUUUUGUUUCUUUAUUUUUCAUAAUUUUUUACCACACCCAACCCUACUUUCUUUUCUAUUAUGCAACACCCUUUAUCAUACCC